UACGGGGGGGGCAAGCGUUGUUCGGAAUUACUGGGCGUAAAGGGCUCGUAGGCGGCCAACUAAGUCAGACGUGAAAUCCCUCGGCUUAACCGGGGAACUGCGUCUGAUACUGGAUGGCUUGAGGUUGGGAGAGGGAUGCGGAAUUCCAGGUGUAGCGGUGAAAUGCGUAGAUAUCUGGAGGAACACCCGUGGCGAAGGCGGUUCUCUGGGACGGUACUGACGCUGAGACGCGAAAGCGUGGGGAGCGAACAGG
rnacentral:rRNA from 1 species